rnacentral:rRNA from 1 species
GUGAAGCGGGAUGAGCCCAAAUUUGAAAUCUCCUGGGGUUUUUCUCUAGGCGAAUUGUAGUUUGUAGAAGUAUUCUCUGGGUCAUGCUAGGCUAAAGUCAUUUGGAAUGGUGCAUCAUGGAGGGUGAAAAUCCCGUGAAUAGCUUAGAUUUUUGAUCCUUUUGUGUGGUACUUUCUAAGAGUCGGGUUGUUUGGGAAUGCAGCCCUAAGUGGGUGGUAAAUACCAUCUAAGGCUAAAUAUAGGUGUGUGACCGAUAGUAAACAAGUAGAGUGAUCGAAAGUUGAAAAGGACUUUGAAAAGAGAGUCAAAAGUACGUGAAAUUGCCAGUAGGGAAGCGUUUGGAACCAGAUGUGUUGACUGAGAUUAAGCCAUUUACUUGGUGUGGGCGAGUGGUGUAUUUCUUGGGAAACUGGUCAGCAUCAAUUCUAGUUGCUGUAUAAAUUGCUUUGGAAUGUAGUGCUUUUCUUUGUUGAUGGGCAUGUUAUAGCCUUUGCGAGGUCUGCGGUGGUUGGGAUUGAGGGUCGCAAUGCCAUUUGAGCUGGUCAGAAUGCUAGGGGAGUAUUCUUGAUAAACAGCAUGCUGUUUUUUUCGAACUGUUUUUUUAACCAGUUUGACUAGUGCUUUUUGGGCGUUUGGGAUGCUGAUAUAAUGGUUUUAAACGGCCCGUCUUGAAACACGGACCAAGGAGUCUAACGUAUAUGCGAGUCUAUGAGUGAGUAAGCUCCAAGGCGAAAUGAAAGUGAUAAGGUGGGAACUUUUUUGUGCACCAUCGACCGCUCUUGAGGAUUUUAUCCGAAGGAUGUGAGUAAGAGCAUGUAUGUUAGGACCCGAAAGAUGGUGAACUAUGCCUGAAUAGGUUGAAGCCAGAGGAAACUCUGGUGGAGGACCGUAGCGAUUCUGACGUGCAAAUCGAUCGU